UACGAAGGGUGCAAGCGUUACUCGGAAUUACUGGGCGUAAAGCGUGCGUAGGUGGUUCGUUAAGUCUGUCGUGAAAGCCCCGGGCUUAACCUGGGAAUGGCAUUUGGGACUGCAAGGCUUGAGUGCGGCAGAGGAGACUGGAAUUCCUGGUGUAGCAGUGAAAUGCGUAGAUAUCAGGAGGAAUACCGAUGGCGAAGGCAGGUCUCUGGGCUGACACUGACGCUCAUGCACGAAAGCGUGGGGAGCAAACAGG
rnacentral:rRNA from 1 species